GAUGAAGAACGCAGCGAAAUGCGAUACGUAAUGUGAAUUGCAGAAUUCAGUGAAUCAUCGAAUCUUUGAACGCAUAUUGCGCUCUCUGGUAUUCCGGAGAGCAUGCUUGUUUGAGUAUCAGUAAACACCUCAACUCUUUUUUCUUUUUUGAAAUUGGAGCUGGACUUGAGUGAUCCCAACGCUUUCUUCCAAGAAAGUGGCGGGUUGCUUGAAAUGCAGGUGCAGCUGAACUUUUCUCUGAGCUAUAAGCAUAUCUAUUUAGUCUGCCUAAAAAACAGAUUAUUACCUUUGCUGCAGCUAACAUAAAGGAGACUAGUUCUUGUGCUGACUGAUGCAGGAUUCACAGAGACAGCUUCGGCUGACUUUGUAAACUCGAUCUCAAAUCAAGUAAGACUACCCGCUGAACUUAAGCAUAUCAAUAACGGAGGA
rnacentral:misc_RNA from 1 species